CUGUUGAGGCAAGAAAGGACUUGGACGUUAUCAUCCUGUUUUUGUCAGAAUUACUGUACAGUCACAUUGUGUCUACUGUUGCAAACUCCAUUUAAAUUAAAAAGCCUUUAAUGUAAUCACUUUAACUCUGUUUACAGAAACAUGGCCAAUAGCUUUUGAAAUGCAGCUUACCUGUUAUUACAGUAGAUUUUUGAAGAUCUUAGACACCAUUCAAUCAAAGUCAAUCUGAGACAGAACUAGGCUGCUGGCCUAAAGUUGAGCAUCAUCAACAGUCUAGACUUCCACUGUUCCCAUCUCUUAGCCCAGUGUAUUUAUUCCUACGCCCACCACUGCAGAAAAGCCAAUAGGAACAUAGACUAAAAUAUGAAUGUGUAUAAACUUUAACAUAUAAAAGCUCAAGUUAAAACCGUAAAGUGGGGAAAUAUAGGGGAGGGAGUUAUUUUAAAUAUAGUAAUAUAAUCUAAAUGAUAUCUGUAUGAUAUUUUAACUCUCCCACCACUUAGUCUCCUCUGCAAAUCAGCACACUACACAAUGCACUGAGCUCAGAACCUCAGGCUUCUGACCUGACGUCGAUCCACUGCCCUAGAGACACACAGUUAAACCCAGAUACUAGGUAAUUGGAUCUCUGAAACAGAGGCUAAUUUACUAUAUUACACAAAUAGCCCAUGACAUUAGAAAAACCUGGUUUAGAAUAUUCAGAGCUAUUGCAAUUAAGUUUUGUAAAAACCAAGGACAAUCUCUACUUUGUUAAUGAAAUAGGGAUUUCCCCUUUUUCUAAUGUGCCUCUGUAGUGUAAUACAUGGGGCAUCCACCCCCGGCCUUUAUUUUCCUCGUAUUGGGUGACAAUGAGAAGCCUGCACUGUACCACCCAGUUUUAUAAAGUAUAUGUACCAUGUUUAGCUUUUUUGCCACUUGUGUAUAAAUGUAAAGCUUUCCCUCUCCCAGACAACACUGUAAUGUUAAUGUCAUUGAUUUAUUUUCUGAUAAGUGUUGUCUGGGAGCCAUCUGCUUAGCCAAGCCUUUAAGUGGAGCUGUGAACAUCAGAGCAUGAGUCAUACUGGAGGAGCCACUGCACCUCCAUUCACACACACACACAGUUAGAGAAGUCAGAGAAUGGAAAACAUUAACACACCGGGCCAAAUGACAGAAUAAUGAUAGGAAACAUUUCCAUGUAACUCUUCAAUGACAAAAACUGAGGAACAGGAACAUGCUCUAUACUGGAUUAGAGAAGAGAAAUAGCCUGAUUUGAAACAUUGUCAUGGCAACAGCGAGACCUCCUUUAGGCCACUGGGGUAAAAUUCACCACAGUGCACAGAAGGGCAAAAUGUAGCAGCGGGGUUGUACAACCAGUGGCAGCAGCAAAGGCUUGAAUGGCAAAAGCUGCAUUGGCUAAGAAUGGAACAGUGGGUGAGUUAACAGUCUGCAGUUACACCGUGGUAAAGGAGGCACAGUCCCAAUGGCAGCAAAACUGCUUUGGAAAUAUGGAUGAGAAUUCCCAACACUUAUGACAACUUGAGUGCCUCUCUUUCUUACCUUCUUCACACCACUGAGGUGUAAAAGUGGAUGUAAAAGGUACAGGUAACUGCCAAAAUAAAGGAAACACUUGAGUAAAUGAAAGAUAAAGUGUAUUGAAAGCAGGUGGUUCCACACAGGUGUGGUUCCUGAGUUAAUUAAGCAAUUAACAUCCCAUCAUGCUUAGGGUCAUGUUUAAAAAUGCCCAGUUGCCCAUUAUCAUGGAUGCUAAGGCAAGAAGGAGAGAUCUGGGACUUUGAAAGAGGCGUGUCAAAGGAGCAUAGGGGGUUUAAAGGGUGUGUGUGUGCCAAUGAGGGGAUUCUAUUCAUGCCCAAGGCAUGAACCGGGUUAGCGUUAAUUGCAUUCAAUUUGGAACCGGGCGUGAGCCAGGUGCCCCGUUCUGGCCUACGGCGAAGUCGGCUCAAAACAAAAGGGACGUAGGUUAGUCAGUUGGAGUAAUGAGUAGGAUUAUGUGUUUUUUUUGUGUGUGUGUCUCAGUCACCAGAUCUCAAACUAAUUGAACACUUAUGGGAGAUUCUGAAGCAGCACCUGAGAGAGCAUUUUCCACCCCCAUCAACAAAACACCAAAUGAUCGAAUUUCUCAUGGAAGAAUGGUGUCGCUCCAAUAGAGUUCCAGACACUUGUAGAAUCUUUGUCAAGGUGCAUUGAAGCUGUUCUGGCUCGUGGUGGCCCAAUGCCCUAUUAAGACACGUUAUGUUGGUGGUGUUUCCUUUAUUUUGCCAGUUAUCUGUAUGUACA
rnacentral:lncRNA from 8 species